rnacentral:rRNA from 1 species
UGGUGGAGUGAUUUGUCUGGUUAAGUCCGAUAACGAACGAGACCUCAAUUUGCUAAAUAGGACGUUUCACAGGGUGGUCUUCUGGCUUGUCGGGUUUCGGCUCGGCUUGUUGGGGGUUGCCGUUUAGUUGUGGGGCGAAUUUUACUUCUUAGAGAGACAGUUAACAAGAAAGAUAGUUAAAGGAGGCUUGAGGCAAAACA